rnacentral:tRNA from 1 species
GAGGGUGCAGCCCGGUGGUAGAGCGCGUGCUUAGCAUACACGAGGUCCUGGGUUCAAUCCCCAGUACCUCCU